UUCCUAGACAAACCUACUAGUCCAGAUGAAAUUCAAUUUGAUGUUUUAAUUUAAUUAUGAGUCACUAUCUUCACGUCUUCUUCUUCUUCCCCCACCAUGUUUUUGUUGAACUGGUUUCCCACCAUGUUAAUCUCUUUUAAGUGCAUUUACCUCUUUCAUAUCCACUUUAUGACUAAAAUUAUUUUUAAAUAAAGCCUAGUUGUCUCCGCCUUUCUCCCAAACUUUUAGAAAGUCGUGAGAAUCGUAUUAUGUACAGGAACGGAGUGGAAGUGGUGGGUCGUUGAGAUAGGAGAUCGUCGGCGGAGCAAUUGAUCGGAAACAAUCAACGUGCACUAAAAAGAAACUAGAAAAGUCUUCAACAUCCACAUCUAGGGGUUUAUCUUCUAAAGACAAACCCCAGCUUUCCGAUGUGAAAUCUGAAAUGGAUUGAAGAAGGCUAGGAUGUGAGUGGAUCAGAAGGUGAUGAUGAUGAUGAUACAUCGGGGAUCUCAUGGUUUUGUAAUUCGUCUAACAAUAAUGAUAUCCGGAUAAUUGAUAUAUUAUUUAAUUUAUGAUAUACAUUUAGCUGACCA